GGCGCCUGCGUGCGCGAGUGUGUGUGUGUGUGUGUGUGUGUGUGUGUCUUGUCCAUCAUCCACUCUCAUGACACCCCAACA
rnacentral:miRNA from 1 species